rnacentral:tmRNA from 1 species
GGGGGUGUACUUGGUUUCGACGGGGAUUCAUGUGCAUAUUCUGGCAGGCAGAGCUGGGCUAACUCUUUAAACUGGUUCGAAACUCUAAAUGCAAAGAAGAAAGAAGACGAGUACGUCGACGAAGCAGAGUUCGCUCUUGCGGCUUAAUUGAAAGCUCGACAAAGCGGACCGUUUGCGCAUCCGUGUGGCUAUGUGACUAAUGCGCAGGCGAGAGAACAUCUGUAGCUUUUCAUGGCGCUUUUGCGGUUCGGGCGACAUGAGAAACCAAGGGCUGCAGGGAAGGGCAUGGAUGAAGAGGUUUUCCGACAUCCCCUUUCUUCAAAUCGGGAAACUAAGCUUGUAGAGGGGGUAUGGCAGGGUUUUCGGACGGGGGUUCGACUCCCCCCAUCUCCAU